rnacentral:rRNA from 1 species
AUUCUUUUCGGGGGGAUAAGUUGGGGAAACUAACGUAAUACCGCAUACGACUUACGGGUGAAAGCAGGGGAUCUUCGGACCUUGCGCGAUUGAAUGAGCCGAUGUCGGAUUAGCUAGUUGGCGGGGUAAGGGCCCACCAAGGCGACGAUCCGUAGCUGGUCUGAGAGGAUGAUCAGCCACACUGGAACUGAGACACGGUCCAGACUCCUACGGGAGGCAGCAGUGGGGAAUAUUGGACAAUGGGCGCAAGCCUGAUCCAGCCAUACCGCGUGGGUGAAGAAGGCCUUCGGGUUGUAAAGCCCUUUUGUUGGGAAAGAAAUCCAGCCGGCUAAUACCUGGUUGGGAUGACGGUACCCAAAGAAUAA